rnacentral:rRNA from 1 species
CAAGUCGAGCGGCAGCGACACAUUGACCCUUCGGGUGAUUUGUUGGGCGGCGAGCGGCGGACGGGUGAGUAAUGCCUGGGAACAUGCCUUAGUGUGGGGGAUAACCAUUGGAAACGAUGGCUAAUACCGCAUAAUCUCUACGGAGCAAAGAGGGGGACCUUCGGGCCUCUCGCGCUAAGAUUGGCCCAGGUGGGAUUAGCUAGUAGGUGGGGUAACGGCUCACCUAGGCGACGAUCCCUAGCUGGUCUGAGAGGAUGAUCAGCCACACUGGAACUGAGACACGGUCCAGACUCCUACGGGAGGCAGCAGUGGGGAAUAUUGCACAAUGGGGGAAACCCUGAUGCAGCCAUGCCGCGUGUGUGAAGAAGGCCUUCGGGUUGUAAAGCACUUUCAGCAGUGAGGAAGGCGGUAUCGUUAAUAGCGGUAUCGUUUGACGUUAGCUGCAGAAGAAGCACCGGCUAACUCCGUGCCAGCAGCCGCGGUAAUACGGAGGGUGCGAGCGUUAAUCGGAAUUACUGGGCGUAAAGCGUGCGCAGGCGGUUUGUUAAGCGAGAUGUGAAAGCCCCGGGCUCAACCUGGGAACCGCAUUUCGAACUGGCAAACUAGAGUCUUGUAGAGGGGGGUAGAAUUCCAGGUGUAGCGGUGAAAUGCGUAGAGAUCUGGAGGAAUACCGGUGGCGAAGGCGGCCCCCUGGACAAAGACUGACGCUCAGGCACGAAAG